GCCUGUUUAACAAAAACAUCUCCUAAUGAUUUUUAUGUUAGGUAUGGUCUGCCCAGUGAAAUUAAAUGGCCGCAGUAUAUUGACUGUGCAAAGGUAGCAUAAUAAUUAGUCUUUUAAUUGAAGGCUGGUAUGAAUGGCUGGAUGAGGUAAAGUCUGUCUCUUUUGUGUGAAAUAUAAUUUAAGAUUUGAGUUAAAACGCUCAAAUAAAUUUAAGGGACGAGAAGACCCUAUAGAUCUUUAUAAAAUUAGGUAAAAAGGUUAGAUGAGGUAAGGUUUUAUUAAUAUUUUAUUAUAUUGGGGCGAUAAGGAAAUAAAAGAACUUUCUUAGUGUUUAUACUGAUUAGUAGAAUUAUGACCCUUUAAUAAGGGGCAAAAGACUAAGUUACCUUAGGGAUAACAGCAUAAUCUUUUUUGAGAGUUCUAAUCGACAAAAAGGGUUGUGACCUCGAUGUUGGACUAAGGAGAAAUUUAGGCGUAGCAGUUUAAAUUUAAGGUCUGUUCGACCUGUUGUACCUUACAUGAUCUGAGUUAAAACCGGAGCUCC
rnacentral:rRNA from 1 species